rnacentral:rRNA from 1 species
AUACGGAGGGUGCAAGCGUUAUUCGGAAUCACUGGGCGUAAAGGACGCGUAGGCGGGUUGGCAAGUCAGAUGUGAAAUCCUACAGCUUAACUGUAGAACUGCAUUUGAAACUGCUAACCUAGAGUAUGAGAGGGGGAGAUGGAAUUAGUGGUGUAGGGGUAAAAUCCGUAGAUAUCACUAGGAAUACCGAAAGCGAAGGCGAUCUCCUGGAACAUAACUGACGCUAAGGCGUGAAAGCGUGGGGAGCAAACAGGAUUAGAAUCCCUAGUAGUCC